AGGGAGCCCCUCUCCCCUCAGCCACAGCCCCAGGUGAUGCCUGUGGCCUGCAUCUCUGUCCUCCGGAUGAAGGCUCCUCCAGACAAGGUCUGUUCACCCCAUCUACAGACUGCAGACCAAGAGACCCCCCGGGCUUGCUAAUAUCCCCUGGUACUGCCAAGAUGAGAUAUUAGUGCUGGGGUUACCAGGGGCUGAAGGAGGAUCCUGCUCCCCCCAGCUGGACAGAUGUGCAGACGAGAGGCCCAGCGCUGACCUGGAUCCUGAAGCAAGAGGGACAUCCCAGAUGGGGUCCUCCCUGAGGGUGCCCGGACCUCAGGUCCCACCAGAGAUGGCGGAGGAGGAGACAGCACGAGGAAGGCCAGG
rnacentral:lncRNA from 1 species